GAUGAAGAACGCAGCGAAAUGCGAUACGUAGUGUGAAUUGCAGAAUUCAGUGAAUCAUCGAAUCUUUGAACGCACAUUGCACCUCUCGGUAUUCCGGGAGGUAUGCCUGUUCGAGCGUCAUUUGUACCCUCAAGCUCUGCUUGGUGUUGGGUGUUUGUUCCGCCUCUGUGUGUGAACUCGCCUCAAAACAAUUGGCAGCCGGCGUACUUGUUUCGGAGCGCAGCACAUUUUGCGAUCCAGAUCAACGUACAGCGGCAUCCAAGAAGCCUUAUUUAACGCUCUUGACCUCGGAUCAGGUAGGAAUACCCGCUGAACUUAAGCAUAUCAAUAAGCGGAGGA
rnacentral:misc_RNA from 1 species